rnacentral:tRNA from 1 species
GGGGGUGUAGCUCACUGGUGGAGUGCUUGCCUAGUAUGUAUGAGGUCCAGGGUUCAAUCCCCAGUACCAGCA